rnacentral:tRNA from 2 species
UCCUGGUUAGCCCAGUGGGUAGUGCGCUCCACUGGAGAUGGAGAGGUCCCUGGUUCGAUGCCAGGACCACGCG